rnacentral:rRNA from 1 species
ACAGAGGAGGCAAGCGUUGUUCGGAAUCACUGGGCUUAAAGCGCGUGUAGGCGGCUUAGAAAGUGUCGUGUGAAAUCCCGCGGCUAAACCGCGGAACUGCACGGCAAACUACUUGGCUUGAGGUCGGUAGAGGUGCCUGGAACUCUAGGUGGAGCGGUGAGAUGCGUAGAUAUCUAGAGGCACGCCAGAAGCGACAGCGGGACACUGGGGCGAUUCUGACGCUGAGACGCGAAAGUGUGGGGAGUAAACAG